rnacentral:rRNA from 1 species
AAACCAGCACCUCAAGUGGUCAGGAUGAUUAUUGGGCCUAAAGCAUCCGUAGCCGGCUCUGUAAGUUUUCGGUUAAAUCUGUACGCUCAACGUACAGGCUGCUGGGAAUACUGCAGGGCUAGGGAGUGUGAGAGAUAGACGGUACUCGGGAGGAAGUGGUAAAAUGCUUUGAUCUCUCGAUGACCACCUGUGGCGAAGGCGGUCUAUCAGAACACGUCCGACGGUGAGGGAUGAAAGCUGGGGGAGCAAACCGGAUUAGAAACCCCGGUAGUCC